rnacentral:rRNA from 1 species
GACGAACCGUCCUAACGUUGUUCGGAAUCACUGGGCUUAAAGGGCGCGUAGGCGGCCUUGAAAGUCGGGGGUGAAAUCCCACGGCCUAACCGUGGAAGUGCCUCCGAUACUGCAAGGCUCGAGGGAGGUAGGGGCAGCUGGAACUUCCGGUGGAGCGGUGAAAUGCGUUGAUAUCGGAAGGAACGCCGGUGGCGAAAGCGAGCUGCUGGACCUCUGCUGACGCUGAGGCGCGAAAGCUAGGGGAGCAAACAGG